rnacentral:rRNA from 1 species
GAUGAACGCUGGCGGCGUGCCUAACACAUGCAAGUCGAACGAAGCGAUUCAAAGUUUUCGGACAGAGAGUUGACUGAGUGGCGGACGGGUGAGUAACGCGUGGGUAACCUGCCUCAUACAGGGGGAUAACAGUUAGAAAUGACUGCUAAUACCGCAUAAGCGCACAGCAUCGCAUGAUGCAGUGUGAAAAGCCGAGACGGUAUGAGAUGGACCCGCGUCUGAUUAGCUAGUUGGUGGGGUAACGGCCCACCAAGGCGACGAUCAGUAGCCGACCUGAGAGGGUGACCGGCCACAUUGGGACUGAGACACGGCCCAAAACUCCUACGGGAGCAGCAGUGGGGAAUAUUGCACAAUGGGGGAAACCCUGAUGCAGCGACGCCGCGUGAGUGAAGAAGUAUUUCGGUAUGUAAAGCUCUAUCAGCA